UACGUGCACAUCUUGACGUUAGCUGCAGAAGAAGCACGGCUAACUCGUGCCAGCAGCGCGUAUACGGAGGGUGCGAGCGUAUCGGAAUUACUGGGCGUAAAGCGCAUGCAGGUGGUUCAUUAAGUCAGAUGUGAAAGCCCGGGGCUCAACCUCGGAACUGCAUUUGAAACUGGUGAACUAGAGUACUGUAGAGGGGGGUAGAAUUUCAGGUGUAGCGGUGAAAUGCGUAGAGAUCUGAAGGAAUACCAGUGGCGAAGGCGGCCCCCUGGACAGAUACUGACACUCAGAUGCGAAAGCGUGGGGAGCAAACAGGAUUAGAUACCCUGGUAGUCCACGCCGUAAACGAUGUCUACUUGGAGGUUGUGGCCUUGAGCCGUGGCUUUCGGAGCUAACGCGUUAAGUAGACCGCCUGGGGAGUACGGUCGCAAGAUUAAAACUCAAAUGAAUUGACGGGGGCCCGCACAAGCGGUGGAGCAUGUGGUUUAAUUCGAUGCAACGCGAAGAACCUUACCUACUCUUGACAUCCAGAGAAGCCAGCGGAGACGCAGGUGUGCCUUCGGGAACUCUGAGACAGGUGCUGCAUGGCUGUCGUCAGCUCGUGUUGUGAAAUGUUGGGUUAAGUCCCGCAACGAGCGCAACCCUUAUCCUUGUUUGCCAGCGAGUAAUGUCGGGAACUCCAGGGAGACUGCCGGUGAUAAACCGGAGGAAGGUGGGGACGACGUCAAAUCAUCAUGGCCCUUACGAGUAGGGCUACACACGUGCUACAAUGGCGCAUACAGAGGGCUGCCAACUCGCGAGAGUGAGCGAAUCCCAAAAAGUGCGUCAUAGUCCGGAUUGGAGUCUGCAACUCGACUCCAUGAAGUCGGAAUCGCUAGUAAUCGUAGAUCAGAAUGCUACGGUGAAUACGUUCCCGGGCCUUGUACACACCGCCCGUCACACCAUGGGAGUGGGCUGCAAAAGAAGUGGGUAGUUUAACCUUUCGGGGAG
rnacentral:rRNA from 1 species